AUGACAGCAUUGUGUUUUUGUUUUUUUCACUUUCACCGAUGUUUUCCUUCACCUUCCACUUAAGUUGCGAUAUUAGUAAAUGCAAUUUUCGACCAAAAAUAAAUAUGUAUUACUUUCGUCGCUUGUCGGCGAUCCAAGUCCACUGCGUGGAGAAGCUUCCAAGGAAUUGUGUAAAGCAGAAAAACUGGAUUUCAAAGCUGGAUUUUCAAACGCGGAGAUCGAUUCGUUCCUAUAUUGAAUUUACAUCGCCUCAUGAUUUUCUCGGAUCCACCGGUGACCUGAAUCGCAUGAACGCUCUGCUAACUGGCACUGCUCGUCCAACGUCUGCAUCAGCUUAUGGCAUCGGAAGGGAACGAAUAACUAGGAUUCAACCAAGAUCUAUGCAUUACGGCUGCCUCGACGGCGGCUUUGCGUCAAGAAACUACAACCGCAGAACAUACUGCCGAUACUACCUGGUCAAUUUUUCAGCCAAAUUCGCAUUGGUCAUCGAGACGAGCUGCUUUUACGGAUUCCAGAUUGCAAUGGCAUAGUGAGAUGUUUUCAUUAAUACCUAUUGAGAAAGGCUUCAAAAUUCAUCAACAUCUCCACCACCACCUCGAGCAGAAAAACAGAAGAAUCUCGGAGUUUUGACGGACUUGCAGAUCUUGCUGCAGGAACAUCCUCAUAUCCUACAUUGACGGAAGAACAGAAGCAGCAUCAAACAAAAUCCCUCCAGUUUAAAGGACUGCUAUGGCGUUGUCAUCAACGUCCGCAACCAUUUGAGGUCAUGUUAGAGGUGCCAGAACCUGUCGAAACAAUACCAUCUUGACAAGAGAACAGCAAAAGAAAAUAAAAAUAUUUUAUUGUCUUGAAA